UAAAUGGAAAAAAGAGCGAUUUCUUCGAUCCCUCUGCUUGCGACGACCAGCGGAAUUCGCCGAGCUGGGCCAUCGGUGCGGCGGAGACAAUGUACAACGGCGCCAGCGACGAAUAAGGCGGCGGACACGCUCUCGCUACGCAUAAGAAGAUCCCUUCUGCGUCCUGGGUCCGAAUUCUUCGGCGACUGACGGAUCCGGCGCCGGCGUUCAGUUUCGCCUCCGUCUCUAAUUCGUUUCUUUGGAAAGAAUGCAUAAAGAAAGUACUGCUUAGCAACUGUCUGCAGGAUCUCAUGGAACUUCACCAGGACUCAUCUUCUUCAAGUGGAUCGGGUCAUCACUUUGUCAAAGAGAUUUUGAAUAUUUUCUUCCAAAGUUAUAUUCUUCUAAAGAGAUUUAGUGUCAUUUUUUUUCUUUCUUUUAUGGAGAAAUAUUGUAGAUAAUAUCAUGUUUUGUUUUUGUUUUUUGUUUUUAAAAAGCUUAGAUGCUUUGAUGCGGCUUUUGUUGUCAAAGUGAUGGCUUUAAGAAAUGAAACAUUUUUAUUAUUGUAGGGAGAAAAAUGGUUUUAUAAUUUUUAUCUUUUAUUUUUAUCCUUCAAUAAUAAUUAUGUUUUUUUUC